AUGGCGUGUAAAAGAAACCUGAGUUUUACUACUCCCGUGAGUAAUAGGGCUUUGCAACCAGCAGCAAGCCCACUGAGCAUAAAUGAUUUAAUGAAACAGCUGAUCUCCGGUCAGAACGCUUUGUCUCAUCAGCUUGAGGGUUUGAUGGAGAAGCAAGCUGCAAACACUGUUCUUCUCGAAGAUGCUAUCCAGCGUCUUUGUGCUCUUGAGCGAAAGUUUGACGAGCAAAGACCGCAAGAGGAACAAAGACCGCGGGAAGAGCCAUUACAUAAAAGGAUAAAGAGGGCGCACAACGUGGGCAUUGGGGAAGCUGUAAGGCGCCUUCACAAUUCGGAAAACAACCUACAUAAAUAUGAUCCACAAACUGGAAUAAGUUCGCCUCGUAACCAAGCAGUCAUGACUUAUCUGCUAGAGGAAUUGAAAACAACUUUUGCAGAUGCAGACCCUGAGUGUAUACAAGUGUGUUGCAAGACAUACUUUGAAACACUUCGGAGAAAGUACAAUUUGUCUCAGCCAGAAAAGUCCCAGCUAAGAGAUUCCAUUAAAACAGGAGCUAAAAACCGACAAAGGAAAAGACGGUUGCUGGAUUCCAGGUCCAAGGUUGUUCAAACCGAUGCAGAGAGAGAGCUUUGGCAGACUGCAACAGUGGAGCUGAUGUCUGACGAGGAGGAUGCCAUUGUUGAUGGAAGGCCAGUGUGGAUUGUGAGGUCUCCAUCUCACAGGAACCCACAAUCGUCAGAACUUUGUGAGGAGCUUCAGCGCAGAUUGGAGGCAGACAUGCGCUACACUAUUUUGCAUCAUCAGCGUGUUAAGGCUGAUGGAAAUGGACAUGAUGGACCUUCCUUUCUUCAACUUUAACUAAACUGCACUGGUUUUGCAAUUUUAAUAAUUGCACCACAAACUGCACAUUUUCACUUAUUCUCUUCUAUUUUAUCUUAUUCUUUGUAUACUUAUUAGGUUAGAUUUAUUUAGUUUCAUAUUCUGCAACUUAUUUUCUUUUAAUAUUGUUUGUGUUUGCUGUGUUUGGUUACAUUUUAAAUACUUUGUGCUGUGUGUACAUAUUAAGU
ensembl:lncRNA